CUGCACUGAUGACCUCUGUUUUGUGCCACAUGUCUGGGCCACUGAUCUGCACUGAUGGGUUUGAGGAAGCUUUUCUGUUUUUCUGUAA